CAGCGUCACUGUCAAGUCACAUUGGUCAUUAUGAAUUGUGUAAAUGCCCUUGGGGAUUAGCUGAGCAGAGAAGAAUGAAGUUAUACGGCAAAUGAUCAAGAGGAAUAAUUGACAUCAGACUAAAAUGUGAUUCUCAACCUUGCCUAGAUAUUGGAAUAACUUGAAGUGCUCUCUCUCCAAAUAUGAUACGUAGGCCCCAAGACUGGAGAUUCUGAUGUAAUCAGCAUCAGGAUUUUCUUAAAGUUCUCUUAGAUACUGUGCAGCCAAACUGAGAACCACUGCACUAGAACAAUGUUUCCUCUCCUAGGUCAUAAGAAUUAAUUGGUAGUCUUGUUUAAAAGUGUAGAUUCUCAGGCCCAACGUAAGACAUGCUGAAUCAGUCAGUCCCUUCAGUGUCUUUGAAUCUUUUAUUUUUUUUUUUAAUGAAGGCCCCCAAAUGAUUCUUCAGGAAAGUUUGUAAAUGCUUCCUUAGGCUCUAUGCUCUGCUGGAAAAAGUGUUAUGAUCUGUCCUUCUCACCUGUACCCCUACGGCAUAGCAUAGACCCUAGAUCAUAUCAUGUAUUCAAUAAGUAUUUGAUAUUAUUUAAUUAAUUGACAUUUUUCAAGUGCAAAUGAGUAAAAAUAAUUGAUAAAAUUUAAAA
ensembl:lncRNA novel transcript